UCUCAGCUUUUCUAAGUUGAUAACAUAUUUAUUGCCUUCCUAUUAGACAAAAAUCCUUAUUGCCUGGAAAGAAUGUAGUUUCUUCAUAUUAUAUGCAUUCAUGCUAAGUGGUCUAGAAUAGUUUCCACUGAAACCCUUAUCUUACUUCAUUUCUUGGUCUGCAAAAUCUCUUUUCCAGAAUCUUUUAAAGACCUGGGCCAUUGAUAGAAAUUUCUGUACUGUAUUUUGAAACCUAAGUGAAAACAGAAAAGUGAGUGUGUGUGUAAGAAGUAUUACUUCGACUUAUUAGCACUGGCCCACCUCUUCAACCGCUGGCACCUCCAGUUGUCUGAAACAACCAAAAUUAGAAAAAUUGAAGUGUAGAAGUCAUCAGUGACAAAACUAGUUGGGCAGGAUCAAGAGACAACGGAGGUUACUAAGUACAGGAUGUGACUGAUCAUUUUGUGAAGGCAGAAGGAAAAGACCGCCUCCCUGGGUAUUGAGGGUGAUGAAAAGUGAGCGCCCAUAAUAGCAAAGGCAAGGAGGGAUAAAAAUGGAGCAAAAUGUGGGAGGAGGCAGGGGAAACAAAGCAAAAAUACUGGCAGAAAUUAGAAAGCCGGGGAUUGGGAUACAAUCUGGAUGACAGUAGAAAAUCUACUAAGGAGGGGGAGAAAACAAAUAGAACAUAUAAUACUGUCUCUCGAGAGUUUUUAAAACAAGCUACGAUGAGUCCACAAUGUCUCAGUCAUUAAGGUUUCAGUCGUGGUUAGCAGACGGCUAAGGCAGCUGUAUGUGUAACAGCUGUAGAGCAACUUUCUUCAAAACCAGUUCAUUUUAAGAAGUUGUCAGAUUUACCUCGAAUUAUAUGAACACUUUACCUUCCUGAAUGCACAUCCCCGCUAUCCCAGUAAAUGUCAUGCUUUCAGUGUGGCUUUGUAAGCAGCCCGUGCAGAGACUCCUGCCUUUAUGGAAUGGGCCAGUUCUGGAGCGUAUGAAAUGCCAUGAUAAGACCAGGUACUUCCAUAGAAAAAUUAGGUAGAGCUCUGAAAACUUUCAGUUCUCUGAUACGUUUCGUGUUCUGAAUUGUUUCGGGGUGGUGGUUUCUCUCCCUGCCCCGUCAUCAGUAGGAGCUGUAUACUGUACUAAUGAUUUUACUGCCGUAAUGCUUUUCAGUAAUUCCUCAUCUAGAUUUUCUUUACGUCAGUAUUCAAGUCCGUGAACAUUUACAGAACAUGUUUUGCGUGAUAGGCACUGGUCUUCGGGGCUGGUUAUAAAGAGGACAAAGAUGUGGAGAUCACAUCUUGGAGGAGAGAUUUGUAAAUAAAUAAUUGUAAAGCAAUUACUGCAAGAAUUAAUAAAAACAGAGCUGGAAAGGGUAUAGCUCAGUGGUAGAGCAUGUGCUUAGCAUGCACGAGGUCCUGGGUUCAAUCCCCAGUACCUCCACUAAAAAAUAAAUAAACCUAAUACCCCCCUACUCAAAAAAAGAAACAUACAGAGAAUUAACAGAGAAGAGUCAGGGCUUGGCACGCCUCCCUUUUUUUUUUUUUUUUUUUUUUCCUUUUUUCCCCCUAGUAAAUUCAGCUUGGCCUGAGUAUCCACCCUAAGUCCCCACUAAAGAUGUUAGGAUCUCAUUCUGAUAGUUACAGCUGAUGAUAAGUGUCACCAGUAGCUUUAGCUAGCUACCAUUUCAUUACUCCAGCUUGAAUUUUCGAAAAUUUAAGACUUUUAAGUCAUGUAAUGUGAGAUGAUCAUUUUUUGAUACUAAUUUUUAAAAAUCAAUAAGACAGCUGAAUAAGGUUUGCUAUUGUCUUUCAGUGAGGAUACUGAGAAAACUUUAUGUCACUCAGAAUCCAAAUGAGAAAUUUUAUUCAGGAAUAAAUAAAGCUUCAGGAAAAGCUUUACUUCACCUGAGAAAUCAAUUUACCUUUUUCUUAGGAACAAUGCAAAUCAUUGAUCACCCUCAGGUUUUGCUUUAGUUGUAAGAAAUCUCAGACUAUUACUUGUAAUAAUUAUGCAGAACCCAAUCACCUAUAUUCUAACUUAUUCUUGAUCUAGCUCUAUUCUGCUAGAUUCCAAUUUUUGUCUACUUACCAUUCCCCUUGUGUUCUUAUAAAGUUCCUCAAAUCUCUUUGUAAAUAAGGCUAAACAGUAAUACUUCAAAAAAACUGCUUUAUUUUAGGUAUGAAGAUAAGCCCCAGUGUGAACUUUUGGGGGCAAAUCCAGUUAAAUGAUCUAACUGGAAUUCCUGAGGAGUGGAAAUAAUACACGCGUUUGGCCGGUUUUGAAUUACAUCUAGGUUUAGAUCUGCUGACUUGCCUGGAAGUAGAGAAUGUGGAUAAAAGGAUUAAAAGGAACCUAAAGGGAUGAUAUGGUCCAGAACCCUGAUGUCAAGUAAAUGGAUGAUUAUUCUUCUGGAUGUGCUCUUCCCAUAUAUUAUUGCAGAAACGAAAGCUGCCAUUCCAGGAUUUAACAAUCUGUGGGUCCUUAAGUUAUUCUUUAUUUUCAUUACAUUUAGUUCGUUGAAAUAGAAACAAUUGUAGUUAGCAUCGCUUUAAAGUAAACAUGUAUUUGAGUACGAGCUCUUACUCCAGUUUCUUGGUACCAUGUCCUUUGGUUUUCGCUCUCAAAAUCUAUUUUCCACUCUUACAAACGCUUUUAUUUUCCAUCUUUGUACCUCAUUAAGUUUAUUUCUUUAAGAACUGUAGUAGUGGAAGGAUUAAGUUCAUAUUGCCAUUCUUUUUACUUGCCUGUCUCCCCUUUGAGGACAGUACAGUCUAGCCCCUUCUCUGGCAUGUAGAAUAUAUUCAAUAAAUGUUUAUUGAAUGAAUAA